rnacentral:rRNA from 1 species
ACGGGUAACGGGGGAUCAGGGUUCGAUUCCGGAGAGGGAGCCUGAGAAACGGCUACCACAUCCAAGGAAGGCAGCAGGCGCGCAAAUUACCCAAUCCAGACAGUGGGAGGUGGCGACGAGAAUUACUGAGUGGUAGCCUUAAUGGUUAUCGACUUAGAAUGAACGUGAUUUAAGAAAUCCGUUGAGUAACAACUGGAGGGCAAGUCUGGUGCCAGCAGCCGCGGUAAUUCCAGCUCCAGUAGCGUACCUCAAAGUUGCUGCGUUUAAAACGCUCGUAGUUGGAUCACAUGGUUAGGUUUAGUGAAUUAGCGUGUUAGUACGCUAAAUCCUCAAGUGUAGAUGUGACGGUGUGUUAUCAUCGUUGCAGUUUAUAUAUUGUGGAGUACUGCACGUUGAUUGUUAGCUAAGCCUAACUGAUUGCGUAUGGGGAUGGCAGUUGACCUUAAGUGAGUCGACUGUCGUGUCCCAUGGAGUGUGCCUUGAAUAAAUCAGAGUGCUCAAAGCAGGCUUGAUGCCUGAAUGUUAACAGCAUGGAACGAACAAUUGUGGCAACAUGAUGCUGUUUCAACUAGUAAUGUGCUUAUUUGUAUGUUGCUAUGUUGGGGCAGUAUCAUAGCACCAACCACCAAUAUCGGAUGUUGGUUCCGUAUUGGGGUGAUGAUUAAGAGGAGCGGUUGGGGGCAUUGGUAUUUUGCCGCGAGAGGUGAAAUUCUUGGACCGGCAAAGGACUAACAAAUGCGAAGGCAUUUGCCUAGACCGUAUCCAUUAAUCAAGAACGAUAGUGGGAGGUUCGAAGACGAUCAGAUACCGUCCUAGUUCCCACCGUAAACUAUGCCGACUCGG